GUCCAUAAAUUACAUUAUUAUAUUAAUAUAUAAAAUAUAUAUAGCCGUGUCCGUGUCCUAUGAUUUUUACAUUAGCGAGGUCCUUGUAUCCGUGUCCGAGUCUGAGUUUCAUAGUUGAAAACUAAAGCCUACAGAGAAUAUUAAAAUUAGUUUUCACUAUAUGAUUAAGAAAAAUAGAAUUACAUUACAUUCAUGGUUACAUACCAAAUACAAUACAAACAGUCGUGAUUUAGCUCUAUAAUUUGAAUCCACACCAUGCAAAUAUAGAAUUCAUAAUAGUACUUCCCUCAACAACAAAAGAAAAAGAUAACUAUAAAGGUGCAUCAUUUGAAAAGGAAAAUACCCCAUUAAAAAGUAUUUUUACAACACCAAUGUCACCAAAUUGCAAUAAUCAUCAAACAUAAGUAAAUAAAUCACGAUUAAAGAUAGAAGUGAACAAAACCUCGAGAGCAGCAUUUUUGCGUUUUUCGUAGAGUUUGUCAGCGAGGUUAUGGAGCACGGUCGUCGGCAUCACGAUCCCUGGAAUUGAUCCCAUUCCUAUUAAAAAUGAUCCUAUGUAGACCUAGUAUCAUAGAAAAUGUAAAUUUUACUUGGAAAAUGAGUUCAUAUUUCAGAGAAUGAGAUUCUUGAAAUGAUAAAAGCAUCAACAGAGUUAAGUCAGUUUGAGUACAUUCACGUAAUUAUUUUACAUUUUGAUCCUAAUAAGAUUGCAAAACCAAAUUGUGGAGUUAAGAAAACAUUAUUUUUUGUAUCGGGUUUCGAGAUAAGUCAAUUUGUCUUGCCAACAUAAUUUUUUAUGAAUCUUUAGGAUAAAUAAUACCAAAGGAAAUUCGAAAAUAAAUUAUAAGAAUAAAUUAUUGAAAAGUAAUUACGAACAAAAAAAUUGUUUGUGACUUACCACCACAUAAACCACCGUAAAUAAAAAUUAGGUCCCCAACAAUAGUAGUUGCAUGCCUGCAAUGCCUAACCAACUCAACAAAGGCAUCUCCAAACAGUAAUUGUUAUUUCGGUACAGUAAGAGGGAUCUGUCAAUAUUUAUCAACCAAUUAAAAGUUGAAACCCUCAUAUCUUGUUGUCAAUUUAGAAUAAUUCUUCAUAAAUUGUGUUCAAAAGAUGAAUAAUAUUGUUAGUAAUGGUGAAGCUUAGAGUUCUUGAGUUACACAAUCAGAGGAAACCAUUUUAAAAAUAAAAUCAAACAUAUUUUAAAGUUGGAUUGUCUCUAAAAAUCAAAAUCAAGUGGCAUGGAAAAGAAAAUAACUAAAAGAACAAAGCCAUACCAUCAUCGUUAACAUUGAUUUUUCCUAAAUCACCCGCAUAUCUAUGUAUACCAGUUCCUAUCUUCUUCUUAGUCCAUGAAAAUAUAACUUCUCUCCAUAACAAUGAAAGAAAAAUAAAAUUAGAUCCAAUAAAAUUGAAAGAAAGUGUGAAUAUAAAAUAAAAUAGAAGUUGUUAGCUUCAUUGUCUUUUGCACGGUAAGACACUAUGUGUGCCUAUCAUCAAUUCAAGCACGACUUGUGAAAGUAAAACAUGAAGAAGUUUAAGAUUUUGUUCAUACAUUGUGAUAAUGUUGAUUUUUAUGGCCACAAUAUGAAUAAGAUACAUCAAAAGAAAUCAAAGAUGUGCAGAAAGUUUGAAGUUUUACCACAGAUCUACCACCGUGAAACCGCACACCACAUUAAAACGCUCAAGCCACCACUCAUGUUUUAACUCAGAAAUCGACUACCACCGUGCAUAACAGAUCCCCCCUCUUUUCCCGGCGAUAGAAUGAACAACUACAAUCAGAAACUGUCGGAAACAAUCUCGCCGCUGCAGAAAAUGGAUUUACGUUUUUAUAUAGGUUUAUUCCUUCAUAUCAUUCAACCAAACCCAUAAAAUUUGCUCAUAAUCCUAACCAGCCUUUUGUAUUCAUCUUCGAUCCAAAGAGAAAAAGUAAGAGAAACGGAAGAAAAUGUACAAUAUGAGGCAAUAGAAAGGCAGAGUGACGUGAUAUUCUUUUAUUGAAAACUGCAUAAUUUUGAAAUUUGUAUCAUUUAAGAAGAAAAUCUGCAAUUGUGUACAGAAAAAAUAAGUACAAUUGGUUAUCUAAUAUGUUUGUCGCAACUGAAAAAAUAUAAAUUCACCACCGUAUUUUAUUUCUUCAUAAGAAACAAGGAAAUAAUGAUAAAACCUAUAGUUAAAUGAAUUGGCGCAUGCACCACAUGUAAUAUGCAUGCGUCAAGAUUGACGCCUCUUCACGAGACUUCCAAUGCAUGCGCCAGAGACAUUGACGCCUCUUCAUGAUGCGAAAUGGAUGCGCCAGUUCAUCUGACGCAUCUGUUUUAAAAGGUGAUUAUUUUGGGGGAAAAUUAAAAAAAUAGUUAUUUUGGAUUUUUUUUUAAAAAUUGUGAUUAUUUAAAAAAAAUCUGAUUUUCUUAAUAAAUUCACUAUGAAGUUUUUAUUUAUUUAUACAUACUCAAAAUGAAAUGGAAUAUUUGUUAGUAAAUCAAGUUCAAUAUAAUAGGCAAAAACGUGUCACAAGUCACAAUUGUUGCUGUUACGUGGCAACAAGUUCAAGAACUAAAAUAGUAGAACACUUUACCAAAGCAACACUUAGAGGGAAAAAAGUUUGUGUUCCUACGCUGGAAAUUUUGAAUGCAUUAUGGUUUUGAUAAAUGGAGCAUCAAUCUCUGGUGUUACUCGGAAACCGAACAAGUUGUGUUUUGGAAAGGGAAAGGAUUCUAGCUCACUCGUUUUUACUGUUUCCGUUUCCAUUUGCAAAGCUUUAUAUACCGCAUCAACACCAGCUAGAAGCUUCCAUGGAUGUUCUCUCUAUGAACCAAGCAAGUACACUAAGGUAAAGCCUCUUUGUCUUCUACAUGAUUCUUUUGAACGCUAUAGCCAUGGUAGAUUUUGAUCAAGAAAAUGGUGAGGUCCCUAAAGACUUAAUUAAAUAAAGAAUGUAAUAUAUCGUUUAGCUCAAUACAGCUCCUCUGUUGCAAGGUGAGUUCUUAUUCAUGUGCUAUUUUUGCGUUAGAUUACUUCGAUUAUGUUAUUUUCAUGUCAAUGUUUGCACAAAUGUUAGAUUAAGCUUCGGUCAGGAUUUAUAUAGUCAUGAGCUUAUCUUGGACUCGUGCUUCAGAUGUAGAAAAAGUAGGGGUCAAGCUGGGAGUUGAAGAUUGUCAUUUUGUGGCUGGAUUAGAACUUUGGUGUUUGAUGACUGGGCUAUUUUUCUACUAUUUGCUUAUCUUAAUUGUUGCCAAAACUUCCAAGUCCCAUAUUGCUAGUGAGAGGAAUUAGAUGAGCUUGAAGUUUAUAAAAAGAAAGCUUAGUCUACAUUAAAAUCUAUCUUUGCGCUUGGGGCAAUGACGCAGCUAGUGAGGUUCUAACCGAGGCGCGUCUAUUGCUGGUUGAAAACUAUUUCCAAACCCCUCUUAGGCUUGAGGCAACUCAAGCCUUUGAGAAUUUUUGGAAGGACUCCCUUAGGGGUAAAGUCCUACAAAUUUUAGUUUAAUAUAUUUGUAAUUUUUAAAGAUAAGCUUUUUAAGUUUUUUUUCAAUUUACUCAAACUGUGUUUUUUGUUUAAAGGUAACCAGUUAUAGUAUUGCAACUUACAUUGAAGUAGCAAAAUAGCCCAGCCAUAAAAUGACAUUCUUCGUUUCCCACAAACCUCUUAAUUUUCUCCUCCACUACUUUUUCCAUAUUAAAAACUUUAACUUGAAAUAAAAUAAAAACUGAUAUGAAUGUUAACAUUGAUCUACUUUUUCCAUAUUAAAAACUUUAACUUGAAACAAAAUAAAAACUGAUAUGAAUGUUAACAUUGAUCUACUUUUUCAAGAUUAAAAACUUUAACUUGAAACAAAAUAAAAGCUGAUAUGAAUGGUAAGAUUUGAUCUUAGUUGAUUUCAUAACAAGAGCAAAGUCAUGCAAUCCUAAUGGAGGUUGCAAAUGUAAGUUGGUGUAUGAAUUGUUGAUCCACUGUGUUGAUAUAGACUGUGUACAUACAAUUCCAGCACUAAAUCUUGGGAACAAAUACGUCUUAGUUUAGAUUUAAAUGACGAUUAUCUUUCACAAAACAUAUCAUGUUAACCCUAGCCCCACAUCGGAAUUGUUAGACUGAAUAGUAUGGAACAUGAGGUAUAAAGAACAAGUGUGUGACUCGUUGUAACAUACUUACCUGGAUGGGGUCAAUGGAUGAUCAUGAAGGUCCAUGGCCUAGGCAAGUGACCUCCAUUGCACUUAGGAGGGGUGUUAGCCUAAGGUCUACCCAAGUGGUGGAACCUACAUCAUAAUUUGUUGCUGUGGGGGCCUGCGUUCGCGCGGCCCCCUC